CGAAGUUGGACACUUAACCGAAUGAGCCAUCCAGGCGCCCCACAGAUCUACUUAUGUUUUGCAAUAGCAAGACUCUUAGCUGUUAGGUAGUAGUGUGCUAUGUAAAUGUUUGAAAAAACUGGAGAUCUGGAGAGAAAUAAAAUGAUGAUUUGUAGCAUAUGCCAACUUUUUAGGUAUAAAUACUCCAACAAGGUCAAUUUCAAGCUACCAAGCUCACAUCAGCACACAAUGCUGUGUCACUAUAUAGUAUUUCUACCACACAGUUGUGAUGCAUGUCAAUUACAUGUUGAGAGCAUCGAUAGUAGUUAACUGUAGUAAAACGAUUAGGCAAUGGUGAGGUUUGAGUGUUAUAUUUAGUUUUGAUAUAUUUAAAUGCAAGUUUAUAUCAUAUAAUUGUUAAUAAUGGUCUUAAUAACCCAGCUUGUAUUGCCCAGCUCUUCUGCUUUCAAAUCUAUACUCACCAAUCACUCCUCACCUUGGGUAAUUUGUAUAUUUACCUGUCUGGACUCAAAAGGUCCCCAUCAAGAACUUGACUAUCCAAGUUCUACUUUUGGUAAGACAAAUUGCCUCCCUCUCUUUUCUAUUUUUAUUUAAUUUUACUUAUCAUUAUCAUUAUUAUUUUUUUAAGUAGACUCCAUGCCCAACGUGGGGCUUGGACUCAUGACCCUGAGACUUUGAGUCACAUGCUCUACUGACUGAGCCAGCCAAGUGCCCCCUUCUUUUCAAUUUUUAAAUACAAAGUAUAGAGUUGUGCUCUGAAUUCAUAACAACUCACUUUCUUUGGCUACCAGUUUAGCUACACCGAAAUAGGAGAGAAAAUUUGUUCAUAAUUUAUCUUCUUCUAGAUUAACUUAAAAAAUCCAUACCAAAUUUAUUCCCAUGGUAGAUCAAACACAAACCGCAUCACAUUAAAUUAGUAAUAUAUGGUUGUAGAGGAACAAAAAAAUAAUAAAGUCACAUCACCAGUUAAAACCAAGAACUCAAAUAGGUAUGUCAAUUAAAUAAAAAUCAAAGCAGCUUGCUGCAGAAUGACUCUUCAAAAUUCAAAGAAAGAUAAUAUGAAAGCUCAAAGACUUGUUAAUACGCAAAUCCUAUUCUACUUCCAGGGAGAAGGCCAGAACGAGGUCAGAAAGAUGUCAUUUCAUGUUUGAUCUACCUCCGAGAUAUCUUGCUCUGCAAUUAUUGUGGCCCAAAUGGAUACAUUGGAAGGACUCAGAGAACAACUGCAAGUAGUCAGGGAAAGAAGAGCUAAUGUCAAAUGAAGAAACACAACUUCAGAGAGGUUAAAUGAUUCACCUCAAGGUACCCCUGCUAUUGAAAUGAUGCACCACAACUCAAACUUUGUUGGCCUGACACCAAGUGCCGCACUUCUGUUUGCUACAGCAGAGAUUUCCAGCUGCCCACCCAAAUCCAUUCCUCCUUUUAUCCACUCACUGUUCAAAGUGCUGAGUGAGGCUGUGACUAGCCAGGUAUAGGACCCUGAGAUGGUGACAUCCAGAGCAACCCUGGAAUGCUAAAAUAGUCAUCAGCCUGCGUCCCUCAAUCCCUGCCUUGGACUGUUACAUGAAGAAACAAAAACAGAACAGAAACAAACAAACAAAAACAUCUUGUUCUUCAAGUCACCGAGUCUUUUGGGUGUAUGUGUUGCUUCCGCUUAGCUUUCCCUAAUUUAUACAACCCAUUUGCCAGUUUGCUUAAACAUUUCCAGUGCUGGGAGGUAUAGUACUUUUCAAGGUAGUAAAGGCUUUUUUUUUUUUAAUGUUGAGUCAAAAUAUUUAUUCUUAUUUCUUCUAAUUUUUUUCCUUUGGAGUAACCAGAAUUUCAGUACACUUCAGAAUAAGCCUAUAAAUAUUUGACCAUAGUUUAAGGGCAACCACAUCAUCUUUUCUUCAGAACUUGCAUAUAAGCAGUUGUGUUUUGUAAACACAAAACAAUCACUAAAACUAGAAGCUACCUUUCUCCUAAAAUGUGCUAUAUUGUAUGGCAUUUAGGAACCAUGGAAGAAAUUCUCCUCAGAGAAUUUUGGUUUAGU